ACAUGCCUGUAAUCCCAGCUACUUGGGAGGCUGAGGCAGGAGAAUCCACCCACCUUGGCCUCCCAAAGUGCUGAGAUUACAGGCAUGA
rnacentral:pre_miRNA from 1 species